GUUUCGUAAAGGCAGUUUGUCUUUUCAUCUGGGAACAAUAUGAUCUCCACAAAGCCUACAAUCCAGUCACAGAAGUCUUUCAUCUGACUGAUAGACGCGAUGUCUUUUUCCGGUAUGAUAUCCAAGAUGGCGUCUCUCACGUCUCCCCACUGCAGUGAUCUGGAAGACCCGUGCUACACGGGCAGAAGCCGAACACGGCAAUCCAUGACGCCGAACAAUGCAAUCCAUGACGCCGAACACGGCAAUCCAUGACGCCAAACACGGCAAUCCAUGACGUCGAACACAAUGUAUCGGUCACACGUACGCAUUGUUUACUAUUGCAAAAAUAAAAUCGAUAAGCUC